ACGCAACGCGCAGAACCUUACCAGCCCUUGACAUCCCGGUCGCGGACUCCAGAGACGGAGUUCUUCAGUUCGGCUGGACCGGAGACAGGUGCUGCAUGGCUGUCGUCAGCUCGUGUCGUGAGAUGUUGGGUUAAGUCCCGCAACGAGCGCAACCCCCGUCCUUAAUUGCUACCAUUCAGUUGAGCACUCUAAGGAGACUGCCGGUGAUAAGCCGCGAGGAAGGUGGGGAUGACGUCAAGUCCUCAUGGCCCUUACGGGCUGGGCUACACACGUGCUACAAUGGCGGUGACAAUGGGAAGCGAAGACGCAAGUCCUAGCAAAUCUCAAAAAAAA
rnacentral:rRNA from 1 species